GCUUACGGCCAUACCACCCUGAAUGCGCCCGAUCUCGUCUGAUCUCGGAAGCUAAGCAGGGUCAGGCCUGUUUAGUACUUGGAUGGGUGACCGCCUGGGAACACCAGGUGCUGUAUGCU
rnacentral:rRNA from 1 species